rnacentral:rRNA from 1 species
UGAGGAAUAUUGGUCAAUGGACGUGAGUCUGAACCAGCCAAGUCGCGUGAAGGAAGAAGGUUCUAUGGAUUGUAAACUUCUUUUAUACGGGAAUAAAGUGCGCCACGUGUGGUGUUUUGUAUGUACCUUAUGAAUAAGGAUCGGCUAACUCCGUGCCAGCAGCCGCGGUAAUACGGAGGAUCCGAGCGUUAUCCGGAUUUAUUGGGUUUAAAGGGAGCGUAGAUGGAUGUUUAAGUCAGUUGUGAAAGUUUGCGGCUCAACCGUAAAAUUGCAGUUGAUACUGGAUAUCUUGAGUGCAGUUGAGGCAGGCGGAAUUCGUGGUGUAGCGGUGAAAUGCUUAGAUAUCACGCAGAACCCCGAUUGCGAAGGCAGCCUGCCNAGCCAUGACUGACGCUGAUGCACGAAAGCGUGGGGAUCAAAC